rnacentral:tRNA from 1 species
GUCUCUGAGUGCAGUUAACAUGCUCAGCUGCUAACUGAAAGACUGGAGGUUCAAGUCCACCCAGAGAUG